GCUAGCAUCCGUCGCGACAGAUGGGCGCUGCUUCAAGGACAGGAUGAUUGGUUACACGCCGGCCUCGAUCUCGCCCAGCUGUGUGGGUUCAUCAGGACGGCCCAGCUUGUCUGGCACGUGCGGCCACCCAUCGGCGAGAUGAGAUCCAUCAAUCCGAUCACCUCAUCGGUACGGAACGGAACAGAUUUUUCGCUGUCGACUGGUCCGAAACGAGCCGGCGACCUCGACCGACCGACCCUCUCCCCCUUCCCCCUCCCCCGCCCGCCCGCCGACCCAUCGCUGUUGCGCUACAGGCUGCUGGCAACGACGCUGUCGAGGCCGAUGCGCAGCACCGGUGAUGACCCGGAGCAGAAAGGGCGUUAGCUGGUUAAUGUAUCAAGCUGCAGAGACACUUAUCCCCGGGGAUUAGGACCUGCCCUGCCAGGAUACCAGCCGGAGAGCUUUCAGGCGACAAAAGCCGCGGCGAGGGGAUCAGCGAGGAUCUGCCGGGCCACCGCCACCGCCGCCGCCCCGCGUUUUAUACUGGAGGGUGGGUGUGCUCCAAGUGGUGCCUUUCUGACAACGCGAUCUAGGCUAUGAGUAGUGUCGUCCAAGCGACCGUAUCCACAAUCCAUCAACCUUAGCGAUCUUUUGAGUUCAAAAAAAGAAAAAAAAAACCUUAGCAAUCUUUUUUUAAGUUCCUUCCGAUAAAUAAAACAGGAGAUCAAGGAAAGACAGAGACGGCCACGACGGUAUAUUUUUUUUUGGUGCCGUGUUCGAUUCAUAGGAUCCAACUGUUUUGCCCACAAACGACAAGGGACCGCGCUGCCGCCGGUGAGCUCCGCUUGGAUGGACGUCCUGUCGCUGCGGCCCGGGGUCCGGACGGACGAAAGAAAUGGACGCGAGGGGGGGUGGCGGCCAUGCACUAUUGAAGAGGUCGGAUUUGCAACUGAUGCAUGCUCCUAAGUUGUAUGUAGCUGUCCUAGAUGAUUGUUUAUUUUCUUAUAUAUGUUUGGGUGAGAGCGACUUGACAGAGAAGCGUGUUUUGUUUUUCGGUUGGUGUUUGUGGGCAGCGUUAGUCACGACUCAGGACCUAAUUGACAAAACAAAUGUCAUUGACACGGUGGUUAA